rnacentral:rRNA from 1 species
AUUGAACGCUGGCGGCAGGCCUAACACAUGCAAGUCGAACGGUAGCAGGAAGAAGCUUGCUUCUUUGCUGACGAGUGGCGGACGGGUGAGUAAUGUCUGGGAAACUGCCUGAUGGAGGGGGAUAACUACUGGAAACGGUAGCUAAUACCGCAUAACGUCGCAAGACCAAAGAGGGGGACCUUCGGGCCUCUUGCCAUCAGAUGUGCCCAGAUGGGAUUAGCUAGUAGGUGGGGUAACGGCUCACCUAGGCGACGAUCCCUAGCUGGUCUGAGAGGAUGACCAGCCACACUGGAACUGAGACACGGUCCAGACUCCUACGGGAGGCAGCAGUGGGGAAUAUUGCACAAUGGGCGCAAGCCUGAUGCAGCCAUGCCGCGUGUGUGAAGAAGGCCUUCGGGUUGUAAAGCACUUUCAGCGGGGAGGAAGGGGGAAUGGUUAAUAACCAUUGCCAUUGACGUUACCCGCAGAAGAAGCACCGGCUAACUCCGUGCCAGCCGCCGCAGUAA